rnacentral:rRNA from 1 species
GACGAACGCUGGCGGCGUGCUUAACACAUGCAAGUCGAACGGAAAGGCCCUGCUUUUGUGGGGUGCUCGAGUGGCGAACGGGUGAGUAACACGUGAGUAACCUGCCCUUGACUUUGGGAUAACUUCAGGAAACUGGGGCUAAUACCGGAUAGGAGCUCCUGCUGCAUGGUGGGGGUUGGAAAGUUUCGGCGGUUGGGGAUGGACUCGCGGCUUAUCAGCUUGUUGGUGGGGUAGUGGCUUACCAAGGCUUUGACGGGUAGCCGGCCUGAGAGGGUGACCGGCCACAUUGGGACUGAGAUACGGCCCAGACUCCUACGGGAGGCAGCAGUGGCGAAUAUUGCACAAUGGGCGGAAGCCUGAUGCAGCAACGCCGCGUGCGGGAUGACGGCCUUCGGGUUGUAAACCGCUUUAGCCUGUGACGAAGCGUGAGUGACGGUAAUGGGUAAAGAAGCACCGGCUAACUACGUG